GUGAAUCAUCGAAUCUUUGAACGCAACUUGCGCUUUCUGGUAUUCCGGAAAGCAUGCCUGUUUGAGUGUCAUGAAAUCUCAACCAUUAGGGUUUCUUAAUGGCUUGGAUUUGGAUGUUGCCAAUUGCUUUGGCUCAUCUUAAAUGAGUUAGCGUAUUUGACUUGUCGUUUCUGGCGUAAUAAGUUUCGCUGGUUAAGACUUGAUAAGUAUGCUCCUAAUCGUCUUAGGACAAUUACUUGAACUCUGGCCUCAAAUCAGGUAGGACUACCCGCUGAACUUAAGCAUAUCAAUAAGCGGAGGA
rnacentral:misc_RNA from 1 species